GACUGUGAUUUUUCUCGUCACAUGUAUGCUUAUGUAGAGUGCACAGUUUGUCCUCCGUGCCCCUGUCUUCUCUUGUUGAUAAAGAUUAUAUACUAUAUUUUUUAAAAAAGAACUGAAGCAUCAUGUCUGACUCCUGGAUCCCUCUGAAGUAUGAAUAGAUAAGCUUCUGGGCCCAAGCACCAGUCCAGCGUGGAGGUGACUUUCUGUUCAAACCACUCAUUUGGGUCCUGCAGCCAAUGUCACCCAUCCUCAGCAAAACAACCUUUAUUUCCUUCUUCCUGGUUUCCAGAAAGUUCCCCUAAAGCCCUUAGGAGUCACCAAAUGUAAGGGGCUUUUUACAAACAGGAAACUUAAGUGGAGUGCCAGUACACCACAUGGAUUGCAUCAGGUGGGGUCUAAGAUAAAACCAGACUGUGGGCAACAGAACAGAUAAAACCCACAUGGUUCUGCACUGCCUGGGUCUGUUACUGUGCGGGAGGAAUGUCUUAGUCUGUUGCUCCUGUGGGUAUAGCUAAAACACAAACCAGGAGACUUUAUCCUUAGAAAGCAGUCAGACAGACACCUGAGAACCAAUCCCAAAUUGCAGCUUUCCACAGAACCUUCUGGAACCUUCUGGAAUGCAACUCAUUACUGCCAGAGGGUCUUUGAUGAGAGUCUACUCUGCACCAUUUGUCUUCAUUACCCACAUAUUCUCUUUCUGUGGAAAGACUUGGAAAUCUAGUAUAUAUUUUAUACUAAUAGCAUAUCUCAAUUGAGAUGACCACAUCUCAAGUGCCCAGUAGCCACAUGUGACCUGAGGCCAUGACUCUGGGCAGUGCAGCUUUAGGUCAAGCACGCCUCACAAAGGGACCUGUGGAGGUGCCUCAGUUUACCUGGGAGCUUGGCUUCGCCAGCUUGCCUUCCUGCUGCUUGGAGGAAGAGUGGUGACCUCUUGCUUUCUCUAGCCCCUUUCUAAGAACCCUCCCAGAAUUUAGUCCUGUGAAGGGACAGGGGUGCAAGGAGUCACCCACACAGUGACAGGACCCACCGGCAAUUCCAGAAGCUGGCCAGCUCUACUCAUCCAAAUUCCUUUUUGCCAGCUGGGCAUCACAAGAGUUUCAGACUGCCAUCCUGUGGCAACUCCAUUUUGAGGCCUGGGGAUGUAAGGGUUACUGUAUUAGUUUAUUCUCACUCUGCUAAUAAAGACGUACCUGAGACUGGAUAAUUUAUAAAGAAAAA